AUGUGUGGCGGUGGUGAGGAGACGCUGUUCCACUCAUUGGUAACAUGCAAUCAGGCUAAGUUGUUCUGGGCAGAAGCAUAUAGGUUCUUUGGAGUCAAACUUCUAAAGUUGCAUCCACUCACAUAGGCAAAGGACCUUCUGGAUUCAGAUUAUGUAAGUAAAGAGGAGGCCGCUGUCAUUGUUUCUGUAAUGUGGGCAGUUUGGAGCAACCGAAACAAGUACAUGCAUGGAGAAAUUCAAUAUUAGCCUAUUGGGUCUAUGGAGAUAAUCCAGGGACAUAUUAGAGCAUUGGAUAUUCCAGUUAAGCAGCAAGAGACUCAGAUUCAGAAGGCUGUGUGGACAAGACCACUGGGAGCUAUUGAGAUCAACUCGGAUACAUCAUUGGAUUUUGAGGGUGGAAGAUCAAGAACUGUUGUGGUCGUCAGGGAUCACGAGGGGAACUUCCUUGUAGGAAGAUUCUCAACAUACAUUGGAAGCACUGAUCCAUAUGUAUGUGAGGCUCUAGGAUGCAGAGAUGACAUGCUGUUGGCAAAGGAAAAAGGAUGGACACGGGUUCAGUUGGUCACUGACUGCAAGAAUGUGGCAGAUGAUUGGAAUGGUAAACGUGAUUGUUCAAGCUGUGGCCCUGUCUUGAGAGAGAUGGGUUCAGUUGGUCACUGA
rnacentral:rRNA from 1 species